GUUUUUGUCAACCCCCCAACCCGGUGUUUUUGCCGUAACCCCUGAGUAACUCGUGGGUAACCUGCCUGUAAGACUGGGAUAACUCCGGGAAACCGGGGCUAAUACCGGAUAACACCUACCCCCGCAUGGGGGAAGGUUGAAAGGUGGCUUCGGCUAUCACUUACAGAUGGACCCGCGGCGCAUUAGCUAGUUGGUGAGGUAACGGCUCACCAAGGCGACGAUGCGUAGCCGACCUGAGAGGGUGAUCGGCCACACUGGGACUGAGACACGGCCCAGACUCCUACGGGAGGCAGCAGUAGGGAAUCUUCCGCAAUGGACGAAAGUCUGACGGAGCAACGCCGCGUGAGUGAAGAAGGUUUUCGGAUCGUAAAACUCUGUUGUUAGGGAAGAACAAGUGCCGUUCGAAUAGGGCGGCACCUUGACGGUACCUAACCAGAAAGCCACGGCUAACUACGUGCCAGCAGCCGCGGUAAUACGUAGGUGGCAAGCGUUGUCCGGAAUUAUUGGGCGUAAAGCGCGCGCAGGUGGUUUCUUAAGUCUGAUGUGAAAGCCCACGGCUCAACCGUGGAGGGUCAUUGGAAACUGGGGAACUUGAGUGCAGAAGAGGAAAGUGGAAUUCCAAGUGUAGCGGUGAAAUGCGUAGAUAUUUGGGAGGAACACCAUUGGCGAAUGCGACCUUUCUGGUCUGUAACUGACACUGAAGCGCGAAAGCGUGGGGAGCAAAACAGAUUAGAUACCCCGGGUUGUCCACGCCCGUAAACGAUGAGUGCUUAAUGUUAGAGGGGUUUCCCCCCUUUUUAGCUGACA
rnacentral:rRNA from 2 species